ACUGCCAUAGAACACAUAGGCCCUCAAUGUCACAGGAAACCUCCAAAACACUGGAUACAACAGUUUCCAAGCUAUGGAUAUGUAGCUUGAUGCAAGAAACUGUAUCUACAGAUGAUUAUCUCUUAUGCAACUCCACAGCAUCUUAAUAGUUGAAAUUCUAACAAACAAUAACCAACACAUGUUACAAAAAAUUAGAGAUCAAACUCACAAAGCCACUAGAGACAAAUGUUUCAACAUGAUAGAUACACAGCUUGGUGCAGGAAACUACGUUAGCAGCUGGUAAAGUUUCAUGCAACUCCCAAGAGUCCUUAAUCUAUGGGGCAACAUGACAAAUUAUAUCCAAGACACGUCAAUUUUGACUUUGACUGGAUCUUGCCCCACCCCUUUCAAUGUUCAAACUUCAAAGCACCAAAUUGGUUAAAAAAUUCUAGUCUUACAUUAUGACAGUAUGACCUUUCUCAAUCUUCUCAUCUGCCCAUAAGGUUCUGCCUUCAUAACUUGUGAGAUCAGGAUACCACUUUAAGCCAUAUGUCAAGCGUCUAGCUUAUGAUGGAAUCAUCCUCUUUUUAAAGGAGCUUCAGAACCCUGGCAAAACUUAAAGUUAACAUUGUACUUUUGGUUUUCCUAACAUAGACAGCCCUAUUACACCAUCGAGUCUCAUGCACUAAUACAAAGACCAAAAUCAAGUGACAGAUCAUACCUUUGUUGCCUUAUCUAUAUUCCACCACCUGUGAAAUGUUACCACUGAAAAAUUGUUCAGAUUGCCGACAAUAUGAAUUUCACUAAUGGAAUAAGCAUAUCAACAUUGAUUUGGCCUUCUUCUUACAAAAUCAACAUGUUAACCUUCUCACUAUAUGUAGCCUAUUUAGCAACUUGCUGACCUAUUCGCAAUUACUAGUAUUGCUUCAAAUAAAAAACAUCGGCAAACUCUAGGAAGCAAGAUGAGUCUAACACAGCAUUAAAGAUAUUGAAUAGUGUAGGCACGCAAGUUAUAUGCUUAUAUAAGCCCAACAUAGC
rnacentral:lncRNA from 1 species